rnacentral:rRNA from 1 species
CCUACGGGAGGCUGCAGUGAGGAAUAUUGGUCAAUGGCCGGAAGGCUGAACCAGCGACGCCGCGUGAAGGACGGAGGUGCCAAGCAUUGUAAACUUCUGUUGUGAGGGGACAAAAUCAGGCGCGAGAGCCUGACGGAGGGGAGUUGAAGAAAAAGCAUCGGCUAACUGCGGUCCAGCAGCCGCGGUAAUAGGUGGGAGGCGAGGGUUAUCCGGAUGUGUGGGGUGGAAAGGGUGCGUAGGCGGUCUGUUAGGUCAGCGGUAAAGGCCCGGGGCUCAACCGCGGCGAGCAGUUGAGACUGGCUGUCUUGAGAAGUCGAGAGGUAUGCGGAAUGCGCAGUGUAGCGGUGAAAUGCUUAGAUAUUGCGAAGAACUCUGAUUGCGAAGGCAGGAUACCGGA